UAGCACCAUGAGAUUCAGCUC
ensembl:ncRNA